UUCAUGUGGAAUGAGUUCCAAGGACCUGGAAGCCACCCAAUUGCAGCUAACUCCUAUUUGGAGAAUGAAAAAGCCUGCUGUAUGCUUCUUCAGUGCCUUAUCAUAUUGCUGCUAAAACUCCAUGCGUGCAAUGCACUGGUCAUAACCAAGUAAACCAGAUUCUAAUCCAUAUUCAAGUGAC